CCAGACUCCUACGGGGGGCAGCAGUGAGGAAUAUUGGUCAAUGGGCGAGAGCCUGAACCAGCCAAGUCGCGUGAAGGAUGACGGCCCUACGGGUUGUAAACUUCUUUUGUCAGGGAGCAAUUGAGUCCACGUGUGGGCUUAGCGAGAGUACCUGAAGAAAAAGCAUCGGCUAACUCCGUGCCAGCAGCCGCGGUAAUACGGAGGAUGCGAGCGUUAUCCGGAUUUAUUGGGUUUAAAGGGUGCGUAGGCGGAAUAUCAAGUCGGCGGUAAAAAUUCGGGGCUCAACCCCGUCGUGCCGUUGAAACUGAUGUUCUUGAGUGGGCGAGAAGUAUGCGGAAUGCGUGGUGUAGCGGUGAAAUGCAUAGAUAUCAGGAGGAACACCGGCGGCGAAGGCGGCCUGCUGGACCGCGACUGACGUUGAGGCUCGAAAGCGUGGGGAGCGAACAGGAUUAGAUACCCUAGUA
rnacentral:rRNA from 1 species